CAGUCGCCGCGGGAAUACGGAGGGCGCGAGCGUUACCCGGAUUUACUGGGCGUAAAGGGCGUGUAGGCGGCCUGGGGCGUCCCAUGUGAAAGGCCACGGCUCAACCGUGGAGGAGCGUGGGAUACGCUCAGGCUAGAGGGUGGGAGAGGGUGGUGGAAUUCCCGGAGUAGCGGUGAAAUGCGCAGAUACCGGGAGGAACGCCGAUGGCGAAGGCAGCCACCUGGUCCACUUCUGACGCUGAGGCGCGAAAGCGUGGGGAGCAAACCGGAUUAGAUACCCCAGUAGUCCCUGUCUCUUAUAC
rnacentral:rRNA from 1 species